rnacentral:rRNA from 1 species
GAUUCAGAGCUUGCUCUUAUGGAGUUAGCGGCGGACGGGUGAGUAACACGUGGGUAACCUGCCCAUAAGACUGGGAUAACUCCGGGAAACCGGGGCUAAUACCGGAUAACAUUUUGCACCGCAUGGUGCGAAAUUGAAAGGCGGCUUCGGCUGUCACUUAUGGAUGGACCCGCGUCGCAUUAGCUAGUUGGUGAGGUAACGGCUCACCAAGGCAACGAUGCGUAGCCGACCUGAGAGGGUGAUCGGCCACACUGGGACUGAGACACGGCCCAGACUCCUACGGGAGGCAGCAGUAGGGAAUCUUCCGCAAUGGACGAAAGUCUGACGGAGCAACGCCGCGUGAGUGAUGAAGGCUUUCGGGUCGUAAAACUCUGUUGUUAGGGAAGAACAAGUGCUAGUUGAAUAAGCUGGCACCUUGACGGUACCUAACCAGAAAGCCACGGCUAACUACGUGCCAGCAGCCGCGGUAAUACGUAGGUGGCAAGCGUUAUCCGGAAUUAUUGGGCGUAAAGCGCGCGCAGGUGGUUUCUUAAGUCUGAUGUGAAAGCCCACGGCUCAACCGUGGAGGGUCAUUGGAAACUGGGAGACUUGAGUGCAGAAGAGGAAAGUGGAAUUCCAUGUGUAGCGGUGAAAUGCGUAGAGAUAUGGAGGAACACCAGUGGCGAAGGCGACUUUCUGGUCUGUAACUGACACUGAGGCGCGAAAGCGUGGGGAGCAAAC